CUCACACACACACAUACACACGCAUGCGCGAAGAAAAAUCGAUGAACGGGUCUGACCCACACGACUGCAUGCAAAGCAAUGCACUAUUUGUAAACAUCCAGCCUAAGCUAUGCUGCAUAAAUGAUGCACCAGGCUCCUUUAAAACGCGGUUGGUGUUCGAAGCAAACUGCAAACGACAUCAUCUGCGUGACAAAACACACACCCGAUCGCACUGGGAGCAGUACUGGUUGGUAACAAACCCUACUUCCAAAUCAAUCAGCCCCAAUCCAGCAUACUCAGAAUCGUCACCGAGUCGGCUAGGUCUGAAGUGUCUGGCCGUGAAAAGCGCCAGCUAAGGUGAAAGGAUGCCACGUCGAAGGUGGGUCGAAAUGUCUGCAAGGGCACCGUGCCAGUCGCCACACCUGCUGACGUCGGUUCAACAUCAUACAAAGAGGUGCGGCUAAGAGUUUGUAACAUUGGCUCGCUACCAAGUUCUUUCAUCUAGAGCCCAUUGAAAUGCCUAACGCGCGCCACUACCGACUGCGGACUCCUUAUGCGACCGACGGCCAGUCAUGGCUGAACGAUCGAUGGCACGGCAACUCCUGACAAAUACAAAAUGAG